AACGAACGCUGGCGGCAUGCCUAACACAUGCAAGUCGAACGAGACCUUCGGGUCUAGUGGCGCACGGGUGCGUAACGCGUGGGAAUCUGCCCCUUGGUUCGGAAUAACUCCGGGAAACUGAAGCUAAUACCGGAUAAUGACGUAAGUCCAAAGAUUUAUCGCCAAGGGAUGAGCCCCGCGGUAGGAUUAGCUAGUUGGGUGGGGUAAAGGCUCACCAAGGCGACGAUCCUCAGCUGGUCUGAGAGGAUGAUCAGCCACACUGGGACUGAGACACGGCCCAGACUCCUACGGGAGGCAGCAGUGGGGAAUAUUGGACAAU
rnacentral:rRNA from 1 species